UUCUUAGAACUGGUGCGAAAUAAUUGGUUUCUCUUUAAAAGAGCUUUCUUUUACCAUUGACACAGAACUAUUUUGCUGUGUAUUGUCAGGCCUUGUAGAGAUGAGGGGUGCCGAUUGUAUUUGAAAACUUCUGCCCUUGCUUCUGGAUAUGCUGGGGGAUACAGCUUGAAACUAAAACAGAGCCCUGGGGUGACUGCUGCCAAUGUGUGGAGAAUAGAAAACCUGAAACUGACAAUGGGCCUUCUGAAAAACAUCUUCAAUCAGCUCAGAGAAGUCCUCACAGGAGCCAUGGUUCCCAAAGAAAUGAUACACAAAAGGCAUUUGCUGAUUAACUGAGGAGCUAAAAGUGCAACCAGCUCCUUGAUGCAAGGUUAUGCAUCCUUGCCUAAGAGAAAAUGGAGCUAACAAAGCAUCAGUGGAGCCAGCUAGAGAAAGGU
rnacentral:lncRNA from 1 species